CCUUAAGUGGCUCUAUUUAAGAGAUAGGGUCAUAAGCGUUAAGGAAAAAUCAGCGUAAGAGCUGGAAG
rnacentral:autocatalytically_spliced_intron from 1 species